UUUAGUACUGAAAAUAGUUUUAGGAUUUAUUAUAGAUGGCUCAUCAACUUUGACAUAUUGGUUAACUGUGGUACUCGUAUAAAUUUAUUGAAUUGGUUGUUGUGAAGGUCGAAGACAAUUACAUUACAAUUUUGGAGGUCUUUCGAACAUCUUAGAGAUAUAAUCCCUCAUUUCUCCAUCUACGUCGGCUUAGGGCAGAAGUUAGUUGCAGUGAUAAUUCAGUUAUUCCGUUUAGUUCAAGUGAAAUUUAUGUUCCGGCUCUUACAUCACCGGCAGCGAAAACUCUGCUCUCGAGCUUUGUUUAAUUAUUACAAAAGCGUCCGGCAGACGCUUUUUAUCUUGGGCUUAAGCUCUUUACAUUAUUCACCCGCCAUCUUGCGGAAUCCAUCCUACACCCUACACGUGGUUUCUUCCCGGAGUGGAUCUCGCCUUGGCCCGCCAAAGUUGGUAGUCAAACGGGGCCGAGUGAAUUGACUGGCCUGCCUGCGUUCGUUGGGUAGAGUACCGGUCCUGCCGACACCUCCGCCCCGCUUCUGUAGUUCGGCCGUUUGAGAAGCGAGUAUUCCCGGUGGCACGACCGCCGAUUGGCGCUGAGCUCUAACGCCGCCAUAAAGAACUCCGACGAGACAGCGUUCUGGGUACAUCGCAGCUCACCGGUGUGCCCCUCGGCUGAUGAACCGCUACCGCCGAAACCGCUCAACAUAAAAUCCUGCGCAGGUAUGUGUACGAUCAUGGCCAUGCACACAACACAACACCUACACUUACACAGUCACUCACAUUUUUUAUGAAAAGAUGAACGAAUAUACAUAAUGAAUACAACAUAAAUUACCUCUCUUUACAUUCAUUUAACGCUGAGCCCUGUGGUCAAUAAGUUCGCUGGAUCAUCUUACGUUGCGUUUAUAGGCUUUCACUUUGAUCACGUUUACCUUGCACUCGUUUCUUCAGGCGUGUCCACCUCGUGACCCUAUUCAAAGUUGUUGACCAUCUAUUUGCGUAAAUCCAAUAACCGUUUGACAAACCCGUAAGAAGAGCUCUCCUGCUUCAAAUAACUAGUCGGGCAAGACAAUUAUUACAUGACCAGUGGUCUCUCGGAAUAGAGAGUGGCGCAUAAGUCACUGUGUUUGCAGCCUUUUGAGCGAGAUUCGCAGACGGUUACAGUCUUGCUGAAUAGCUGCGCGUUUACCGCUAUGGCUAUCCGGGCUCCUGCUGUCAUCUGUUAGUAUUAGACUUCAAAUCAAGAUUGUAUGGCAUAAUUUGAAUAAAGUUGAAACUUCGGAUCUACAAUUACUCUUCUUACAUUGAUCUCUUGGAGCUGUAUCGAUUAAAAUUCGCAUCCAUGCCAGGCUUAGUUUUCUAACUUAUUGCAAGUUGUUGGUUCAAAAUAUGCUGCAAGUAAAUGAUUUCUCAAAGGACCCAUUCAGGGUCAUCAAAUAUGUGAUAUCAAAUUAUGAUUCCAAUCACUGUAUGAAGAUUACGCUUUCAGAUUCACUCCCAAUGUUAACCGUCACUUAACUGAAAACUUCACAGAUCAUACAAAUUGAUUUAAGUUUGCACUAGUUUGAACCUUAUUCUCUACAAGAUUACUGGUUACAUUUGAAGAUUGGAAAAUCUACACUGAAGGCAGUUCUUAGAUAACCUUACGCAUUCUAUAAACUCAGUAUUCAAUGGAACAUACUUGAAUAAGCCAGUAUGGGUAUGAAAGUUGACUUUCAAUUAUUAUGAAUUCGCUUGUAAAUCCGAAGGCAAAUAUUUUAAGAAGUUCAAGGACAAACUUAAACAUCAUUGAACUAAAAAUAAAGAGUGGCCAAUGGCGCUUAAACCUAGGCUUUCGAGCCUGGAGACAAGGAGGAAAUUUGAUUAAUUAUUUGUUGCUAUGAUUAACAGAUCAAACAGGUCAAAAGGUUUUUGGUCAGUGUAAAAGUUUAUUUGGAUGAAAUUCAUUAUAUUUUUCGAAGUAACCUGACCAGUAUUCUGUGAGGAUUGUACCCAGGAUUACGCCAGAAUCUGGGUGGGUAAUUUGUUUUUUUCUUAAUUCUGUCGAAAAUUCUGCCAGCCAGCAAAACAAGCGUCAAAUGUAAAUCCUGUCUAGGAUUUCCUGCGUUCCUGGUUUGAAAAUAUCCUGCUCAAGAGUUCAACUGUGUUUAUUUG
rnacentral:lncRNA from 1 species